GACGAACGCUGGCGGCGUGCUUAACACAUGCAAGUCGAACGAAGAGCGAUGGAAGCUUGCUUCUAUCAAUCUUAGUGGCAAACGGGUGAGUAACGCGUAAUCAACCUGCCCUUCAGAGGGGGACAACAGUUGGAAACGACUGCUAAUACCGCAUACGAUCUAAUCUCGGCAUCGAGGAUAGAUGAAAGGUGGCCUCUACAUGUAAGCUAUCACUGAAGGAGGGGAUUGCGUCUGAUUAGCUAGUUGGAGGGGUAACGGCCCACCAAGGCGAUGAUCAGUAGCCGGUCUGAGAGGAUGAACGGCCACAUUGGGACUGAGACACGGCCCAGACUCCUACGGGAGGCAGCAGUGGGGAAUCUUCCGCAAUAGACGAAAGUCUGACGGAGCAACGCCGCGUGAGUGAUGACGGCCUUCGGGUUGUAAAGCUCUGUUAAUCGGGACGAAAGGCCUUCUUGCGAAUAGUGAGAAGGAUUGACGGUACCGGAAUAGAAAGCCACGGCUAACUACGUG
rnacentral:rRNA from 1 species